rnacentral:pre_miRNA from 1 species
CAAGUACUCCCUCCGUCCGGAAUUACUUGUCAUCAAAAUGGAUGUGUCUAGAACUAAAAUACCUCUAGAUACAUCCAUUUCAAUGACAAGUAUUUUCGGACGGAGGGAGUACAAG